UACGGAGGAUGCAAGCGUUAUCCGGAAUUAUUGGGCGUAAAGCGUCCGCAGGUGGCCCAUCAAGUCUGCUGUCAAAGACGGAAGCUCAACUUCUGGCAGGCAGUGGAAACUGGUAGGCUAGAGUACGGUAGGGGUAGAGGGAAUUUCCAGUGUAGCGGUGAAAUGCGUAGAGAUUGGAAAGAACACCAGUGGCGAAGGCGCUCUACUGGGCCGUAACUGACACUCAGGGACGAAAGCUAGGGGAGAGAAAGGG
rnacentral:rRNA from 1 species